rnacentral:rRNA from 1 species
CGGUGGCGGCGCGCCUAACACAUGCAAGUCGAACGAGCGAGAGAGAGCUUGCUUUCUCGAGCGAGUGGCGAACGGGUGAGUAACGCGUGAGGAACCUGCCUCAAAGAGGGGGACAACAGUUGGAAACGACUGCUAAUACCGCAUAAGCCCACGGGUCGGCAUCGACCAGAGGGAAAAGGAGCAAUCCGCUUUGAGAUGGCCUCGCGUCCGAUUAGCUAGUUGGUGAGGUAACGGCCCACCAAGGCAACGAUCGGUAGCCGGACUGAGAGGUUGAACGGCCACAUUGGGACUGAGACACGGCCCAGACUCCUACGGGAGGCAGCAGUGGGGAAUAUUGCACAAUGGGGGAAACCCUGAUGCAGCGACGCCGCGUGGAGGAAGAAGGUCUUCGGAUUGUAAACUCCUGUUGUUGAGGAAGAUAAUGACGGUACUCAACAAGGAAGUGACGGCUAACUACGUGCCAGCAGCCGCGGUAAAACGUAGGUCACAAGCGUUGUCCGGAAUUACUGGGUGUAAAGGGAGCGCA